AUCAUUCAGUCUAGAAUGGAGUGAUUGUUUACUUCAGUCUUCAUUGAUCCCAAAUAUCUUGACUGCUUGUGACUGGCUGGAUGCCAACAAAGACCGACUUGUUGGGACAGUCCUCCAGCCAAGAAUUCUGGAAAUGGACGAGGAUGAAGUUACGUACACAAUUGAAAAAU